GACGAACGCUGGCGGCGUGCUUAACACAUGCAAGUCGAACGAUGAAACCUAGCUUGCUAGGUCGAUUAGUGGCGAACGGGUGAGUAACACGUGACUAACCUGCCCCUUUCUCUGGGAUAACGCUCCGAAAGGAGUGCUAAUACCGGAUACUCACACCGAGGCACAUGCCUUGGUGUGGAAAGUUUUUCGGAAAGGGAUGGAGUCGCGGCCUAUCAGCUUGUUGGUGAGGUAACGGCUCACCAAGGCGACGACGGGUAGCCGGCCUGAGAGGGCGGCCGGCCACACUGGGACUGAGACACGGCCCAGACUCAUACGGGAGGCAGCAGUGGGGAAUAUUGCACAAUGGGCGCAAGCCUGAUGCAGCGACGCCGCGUGAGGGAUGAAGGUCAUCGGAUUGUAAACCUCUUUCAGUAGGGACGAAGCGAAAGUGACGGUACCUAAAGAAGAAGCACCGGCUAACUACGUGCCAGCCGCCGCCGUAA
rnacentral:rRNA from 1 species